rnacentral:rRNA from 1 species
AGUUCGAUCAUGGCUCAGAUUGAACGCUGGCGGGAUCUUUUACACAUGCAAGUCGAACGGCAGCACGGACUUCGGUCUGGUGGCGAGUGGCGAACGAGGUGAGUAAUGUAUCGGAGACGUGCCUAAUGUGAGGAUAACUACGCGAAAGCGCUAAUACCGCAUACGCCCUUCGAGGAAAGCAGGGGACCUUUAGCUGGGCCUCGCACUAUUAGAGCGGCCGAUAUCGGAUUAGCUAGUUGGUGGGGUAACGGCUCACCAAGCCGAUCCGUAGCUGGUUUGAGAGGACGACCAGCCACACUGGGACUGAGACACGGCCCAGACUCUGAGGAGGCAGCAGUGGGAAUUUUGGACAAUGGGGGAAACCUGAUCCAGCCAUCCCGCGUGUGCGAUGAAGGCCUUCGGGUUGUAAACGCUGGCAGGAAAGAAACGGCGGGAUAAUACCCCGUGCAACUGACAGUACCUGCAGAAUAAGCACCGGCUAACUACGUGCCAGCAGCCGCGGUAAUACGUAGGGUGCAAGCGUUAAUCGGAAUUACUGGGCGUAAAGCGUGCGCGAGCGGUUCGGAAGAAAGAUGUGAAAUCCCAGAGCUUAACUUUGGAACUGCAUUUUUAACUACCGAGCUAGAGAGUGUGUCAGAGGAGAGUGGAAUUCCGCGUGUAGCAGUGAAAUGCGUAGAUAUGGAGGAACACCGAUGGCGAAGGCAGCCUCCUGGGAUAACACUGACGCUCAUGCACGAAAGCGUGGGAGCAAACAGGAUUAGAUACCCUGGUAGUCCCGCGCCCUAACGAUGUCAACUAGCUGUUGGGGCCUUCGGGCCUUGGUAGCGCAGCUAACGCGUGAAGUUGACCGCCUGGGGAGAUUUACGGUCGCAAGAUUAAAACUCAAAGGAAUUGACGGGGACCCGCACAAGCGGUGGAUGAUGUGGAUUAAUUCGAUGCAACGCGAAAAACCUACCUUGGCAUGUCUGGAAUCCGAAGAGAUUUGGGAGUGCUCGCAAGAGAACCGGAACACAGGUGCUGCAUGGCUGUCGUCAGCUCGUGUCGUGAGAUGUUGGGUUAAGUCCCGCAACGAGCGCAACCCUUGUCAUUAGUUGCUACGAAAGGGCACUCUAAUGAAGCUGCCGGUGACAAACCGGAGGAAGGUGAGGAUGACGUCAAGUCCUCAUGGCCCUUAUGGGUAGGGGCUUCACACGUCAUACAAUGGUCGGGACAGAGGGUGCCCAGCCCGCGAGGGGAGCCAAUCCCAGAAACCCGAUCGUAGUCCGGAUCGCAGUCUGCAACUCGACUGCGUGAAGUCGGAAUCACGCUAGUAAUCGCGGAUCAGCAUGUCGCGGUGAAUACGUUCCCGGGUCUUGUACACACCGCCCGUCACACCAUGGGAGUGGGUUUUACCAGAAGUAGUUAGCCCUAAUACAUAAGGAGGGCGUUACCACAGUAGGAUUCAUGACUGGGGUGAAGUCGUAACAAGGUAA